rnacentral:rRNA from 1 species
UACGAAGGGGGCGAGCGUUGUUCGGAUUUACUGGGCGUAAAGGGCGCGCAGGCGGCUCAUUUUGUCAGGCGUGAAAGCCCCGGGCUUAACCUGGGAGGUGCGUUUGAUACGGAUGGGCUAGAGUUCGGGAGAGGAGAGUGGAAUUCCCAGUGUAGAGGUGAAAUUCGUAGAUAUUGGGAAGAACACCGGUGGCGAAGGCGGCUCUCUGGACCGAGACUGACACUGAGGCACGAAAGCGUGGGGAGCAAACAGG